rnacentral:rRNA from 1 species
UGGCGACCGGCGCACGGGUGAGUAACACGUAUCCAACCUGCCGGAUGACUCGGGGAUAGCCUUUCGAAAGAAAGAUUAAUACCCGAUGGCAUAGUUCUUCCACAUGGUAGAACUAUUAAAGAAUUUCGGUCAUCGAUGGGGAUGCGUUCCAUUAGCUUGUUGGCGGGGUAACGGCCCACCAAGGCAUCGAUGGAUAGGGGUUCUGAGAGGAAGGUCCCCCACAUUGGAACUGAGACACGGUCCAAACUCCUACGGGAGGCAGCAG